rnacentral:rRNA from 1 species
UACGUAGGGGGCGAGCGUUGUCCGGAUUUAUUGGGCGUAAAGAGCGUGUAGGCGACCAGGUAGGUCUGCUGUGAAAACUCGAGGCUCAACCUCGAGACGUCGGCGGAAACCAUCUGGCUAGAGUCCGGAAGAGGAGAGUGGAAUUCCUGGUGUAGCGGUGAAAUGCGCAGAUAUCAGGAAGAACACCCGUGGCGAAGGCGGCUCUCUGGGACGGUACUGACGCUGAGACGCGAAAGCGUGGGGAGCGAACAGG